UACGGGAGGCAGCAGUGGGGAAUAUUGCACAAUGGGCGCAAGCCUGAUGCAGCCAUGCCGCGUGUAUGAAGAAGGCCUUCGGGUUGUAAAGUACUUUCAGUCGUGAGGAAGGUGUUAAGGUUAAUAACCUUAGCAAUUGACGUUAGCGACAGAAGAAGCACCGGCUAACUCCGUGCCAGCAGCCGCGGUAAUACGGAGGGUGCGAGCGUUAAUCGGAAUUACUGGGCGUAAAGGGCACGCAGGCGGUUAAUUAAGUUGGAUGUGAAAUCCCCGGGCUUAACCUGGGAAUGGCAUUCAAGACUGGUUAGCUAGAGUCUUGUAGAGGGGGUAGAAUUCCAUGUGUAGCGGUGAAAUGCGUAGAGAUGUGGAGGAAUACCGGUGGCGAAGCGGCCCCUGGACAAAGACUGACGCUCAUGUGCGAAAGCUGGGGAGCAAAC
rnacentral:rRNA from 1 species